AGUGAACGCUGGCGGUAGGCCUAACACAUGCAAGUCGAACGGCAGCACAGUAAGAGCUUGCUCUUACGGGUGGCGAGUGGCGGACGGGUGCGGAAUACAUCGGAAUCUACUUUUUCGUGGGGGCUAACGUAGGGAAACUUACGCUAAUACCGCAUACGACCUACGGGUGAAAGCAGGGGAUCUUCGGACCUUGCGCGAUUGAAUGAGCCGAUGUCGGAUUAGCUAGUUGGCGGGGUAAAGGCCCACCAAGGCGACGAUCCGUAGCUGGUCUGAGAGGAUGAUCAGCCACACUGGAACUGAGACACGGUCCAGACUCCUACGGGAGGCAGCAGUGGGGAAUAUUGGACAAUGGGCGCAAGCCUGAUCCAGCCAUACCGCGUGGGUGAAGAAGGCCUUCGGGUUGUAAAGCCCCUUUGUUGGGAAAGAAAAGCAGCAGGUUAAUACCCCGCUGUUCUGACGUUACCCAAAGAAUAAGCACCGGCUAACUUCGUG
rnacentral:rRNA from 1 species